GACAUUUAUGAAUUAGAAUUAAAAGAUUUUUAAUUUAAAAAUUAACAAAAGUUUAGAACUUUUUUGGCCUAAAUCAAAAUAUCACAUUAAAUUUUUAAUUAAAAAAAAUUCUUUGAUCCACUAGCCACAAAACCGAGUUCCCCCAUUGAAACGACACGCCCACCCUAAUUGAACAAUCUAGGCCAACCAGAAACGUGAAUGGGCGUCCCACGUACAAUAGACGAGUCUGCACUUUGAAUUUUAAUUUGGAAGAAUCUUUCCUUCCAUUUUCAUAUCUUCACCUCCACGCAAACGUAAUCUUGAAGGGGGACGUAAAGAUCUCACCUUUUCUAUACCUUUGAAAAAGCAAAUCCUUUUUCACUGCUUCUACAGAUUAAUGUUGACUAAAAGCUUAAAAGAUUACCAUAAAGCGCAGAAAGUGUUGCCUGGAAGCAUUUGGUAAUGCCCUAUGAAGACCUGCAUAUAAACACAUGGAAGCUGACCGAUGAUCACUUUAUUUUGCCGCACAAAUUAUAAAUCAUCUCUCAAUGCUCAGUAAGACAAAUGACAUUUGUUCAAAUGCUAAUCCAAGUCAUCUCCUUUUUUCUAAAAAGAGGCAAAGAAUGAUUGAAAAAAUAGAAACAACAAGAACCCAGAAACAAGAUAUGCGAUUAUUACGCCAAGUCCAAUCUAGAGCUUUUUGUCACCUUUCCCUUUCUUACUUAUAUAAGCAAAGAUUGAAGAAAAUUAUGAACUUGAGAAACCAAGUUAGAAUCAAUGAGGGAGGGCUCAAGUUUUUAGCUAGGCUGAUAGAUCCCAUUCAAUCCAUCUGAAAA
rnacentral:misc_RNA from 1 species